AGAGUUUGAUCAUGGCUCAGGAUUAACGCUGGCGGUAUGCCUAACACAUGCAAGUCGAACGGAAUACUAAUUAAGAGAAUCUCACACUAGUGAGAGGUUCUCACGGGUAGUAUUUAGUGGCGGACGGGUGAGUAACACGUUGGAACCUGCCCCGAAGUGGGGAAUAACUGCUCGAAAGAGUAGCUAAUACCCCAUAGUAUCCGGUUUAUCCGGAUUAAAGAUUUAUCGCUUCGGGAGGGGCCUGCGUCUGAUUAGCUAGUUGGUGAGGUAAAAGCUCACCAAGGCGACGAUCAGUAGCUGGUUCGAGAGGAUGACCAGCCACACUGGGACUGAGAUACGGCCCAGACUCCUACGGGAGGCAGCAGUGAGGAAUCUUCCACAAUGGGCGCAAGCCUGAUGGAGCAAUACCGCGUGCAGGAAGACGCUUUUCGGAGUGUAAACUGCUUUUGUCGUCGAAGAUUAUGACUGUAGACGAAGAAUAAGGACCGGCUAACUACGUG
rnacentral:rRNA from 1 species